UGCCCGGUCGUCUAAUGGUAGGACACACGGCUCUGAACCGUGUAAUUGGAGUUCGAAUCUCUGCCGGGCAGCCC
rnacentral:tRNA from 1 species